AUUGAACGCUGGCGGCAUGCUUUACACAUGCAAGUCGAACGGCAGCGCGGGCUUCGGCCUGGCGGCGAGUGGCGAACGGGUGAGUAAUACAUCGGAACGUGCCCAGUAGUGGGGGAUAGCUCGGCGAAAGCCGGAUUAAUACCGCAUACGACCUGAGGGUGAAAGCGGGGGAUCUUCGGACCUCGCGCUAUUGUAGCGGCCGAUGGCAGGUUAGCUAGUUGGUGGGGUAAAGGCCUACCAAGGCGACGAUCUGUAGCUGGUCUGAGGGGAAGACCAGCCACACUGGGACUGAGACACGGCCCAGACUCCUACGGGAGGCAGCAGUGGGGAAUUUUGGACAAUGGGCGAAAGCCUGAUCCAGCAAUGCCGCGUGUGUGAUGAAGGCCUUCGGGUUGUAAAGCACUUUUGGCGGGAACGAAAAGGACUGUGCCAAUACCACGGUUCGAUGACGGUACCCGCAGAAUAAGCACCGGCUAACUACGUG
rnacentral:rRNA from 1 species